rnacentral:rRNA from 1 species
AGAUUGAACGCUGGCGGCAGGCCUAACACAUGCAAGUCGAGCGGUAGAGAGGUGCUUGCAUCUCUUGAGAGCGGCGGACGGGUGAGUAAUGCCUAGGAAUCUGCCUAGUGGUGGGGGAUAACGUUCGGAAACGGACGCUAAUACCGCAUACGUCCUACGGGAGAAAGCGGGGGAUCUUCGGACCUCGCGCCAUUAGAUGAGCCUAGGUCGGAUUAGCUAGUUGGUGAGGUAAAGGCUCACCAAGGCGACGAUCCUUAGCUGGUCUGAGAGGAUGAUCAGUCACACUGGAACUGAGACACGGUCCAGACUCCUACGGGAGGCAGCAGUGGGGAAUAUUGGACAAUGGGCGAAAGCCUGAUCCAGCCAUGCCGCGUGUGUGAAGAAGGUCUUCGGAUUGUAAAGCACUUUAAGUUGGGAGGAAGGGCAGUAAGUUAAUACCUUGCUGUUUUGACGUUACCACCAGAAUAAGCACCGGCUAACUUCGUG